ACGCUCGACACCUACGGGAGGCAGCAGUGGGGAAUAUUGCACAAUGGGGGGAACCCUGAUGCAGCGACGCCGCGUGAGUGAAGAAGUACUUCGGUAUGUAAAGCUCUAUCAGCAGGGAANAAAAUGACGGUACCUGACUAAGAAGCCCCGGCUAACUACGUGCCACAGCCGCGUAAUCUGAGCGGGCUGGCAAGGC
rnacentral:rRNA from 1 species